GGCUUAAGAUUCUCUCUGUCUCUCUCUCUCUCUGUCUCUCUCUCUGUCUCUCUCUCUGUCUCUCUCUCUCUCUCUCAGAUCUCUCUCUCUUUCUCUCUCUGCCCCUCUUCCCUGGCUCGCACUGUUUCAAAAAAAGAUGACCAAGAAGAAGAAUUGUGAGUGUGUUGUUGAAAGUGACAGGAUUCUGGAUAGACCAGGGGCUAAUUCAUAGGGAGGCACAGGGCAGUGUGGCUGGGCAACUUGGAAAUUCCUGUGACUCACCAGGUUGUCUUCUCAUCUGCUGGGCUGUUUAAAAAAAAAAAAAAAUCGAGAAACUACACAAACCCUGUGUGAUUCAGUAAGAAAUACAUGUUUGGUUUUUGUCCCUGAAGAGCUUCUACAACCCUUGGAAUUUCUUGAGUGACAGAGGUGAGUGAUAGGAGGAUUUUGUGGUAUUCCUAACAAGCUCCUUUCAGCCCUGUCUGAGCCUAUGCUAAUAAAAUGACUCUAAGUGGGCCCCUAGAUAGCUUCCUAAUGGGGGCUGGUUGCCAGAGGAACCAAUCGUGUGUGACUGAGAGGGUGGGAACUUUCAGCCCCACCUGCUGACCUGGGGGUGGGGUGGGGGGGGGAGAGGAGCUGGAAACUGAAUUAAUCACCAGUAGACAGUGAUUUUAAUCAAUCGUGCCUAUGUAAUGAAGCCUCCGUAAAAGCCCCUAUAUGAUGAGGGUUCUGAGGGCUUCCAGGUUGGUGAACACAUCAAGGUGCUGGGAGGGUGGCGUAUCUGAGGACAGCUCAGGGACACCACACCCCUCCCCCCAUACUUUGCACUGUGCAUCUCUUCCAUUUGACCGUUCUUGAGUUGCAUCCUUUAUAAAUUGGCAGUAGUAACUAAAACACUCUCUUGAGUUCUGUGAACUGUUCUAGCAAUUAUCAAACUUGAGAGGGUCAUAGGAACCCCCUGCUGUAUAGCCAGUUUAUAGUUGGGCAGAAGCAUAAGUGGCAGCCUGGGACUUGGAACUGGCAUCUGAAGUGGAGCAGUCUUGGACUGAGCCCUUAACUUGUGGGGUCUGUGCUGACACUGGGGAGUGUCAUAAUUACAGGACACCCAGUUGUUGUCCGGGGAAUCAAAGAUUUGGUCGUCAAACGGAGAGGAAGAAACCUAUCUAUUUGGUUGUCGGAAGUGCUGUGAAUAAUAAGAACAGUUAGCUCUGGAAACUGUAUUUUGAACUUCACACUAAUGGCCUAAGUCUUGGGCAUGCAAUUUUGGCAAGCCCUCUUGUACUAGAGUUUCCAUCUGGUUGAAGUUUACCUCGAGAAUCUGGUUUCCAAGGACCACGUGGUGGUCACAUCUGUCGACUGGGUUGUCAGUGGCAUUUGUCAAGGACAUAACUGUAGCUCUUGCAGCUGCUCCUGUUUUCUCCUCUUUUUCCAUCACCAGAAUUGUGGCUAGCCAUCGCCAGGUGCCUCAGUUAGGUGAGCCAUCUGGAGACCUGCUUUUGGAGGUGGGGGAAUGGGCAGAGAGGUGGUUCACCCGCAUCUUCAGCGGGCAGUGGAGCCCUCAGGAACUUGUUGGGUGCCCAUUUUUGUGCCGCGUGCCUUGCUCUGCACUGGAGAUAGGGAGUGGAAUGUACCUGGGCCCUUUGAGGACACAGGACGGACAAGAAGGCCCGCCUCCUCUCCUUGCACCGCUCUCCCAGCCCUCUGAAGCUGGAGCCACACAAGCCCUCCUUUCGGUUUCUUGAUUGUGCCAACUGCUUCCAUGCCUUGGCACCUUCACGUGUGCUGUGCCCUCUUUCUGGAGACUUCUCCCCGCUCUUUGGUUGACUGCCUCCUACUCAUCUGUCGGGUACCAGUUUAAUGACCCCUGUCCCAAGAGACCUUCCCCAAGCAUCCAUUCUGGUUUCUCCCCAUCUUCACCUGGCUGUGUGGUAGCCUCUGUCUUGUUUCCCUCUUAGCCCUUUUCCCAACUUACAAUUAUGUAUUUUUUUUGCUUUGGUCUCCCCCCCACCCCUACUAGACAGUAAGUUCCCCGAGGGCAUGUCCUAUAGUCUUCUCAAGCUUGACGCUUCUAUGAGUUGGAUGGUUCAGUAUGUACUGACACCUACAGCCGCUUUUCUGUCAGAGGAAGAGGUGAUGUGGCACUCCAGGAAGGAGGGGUGGAGAAGGGUUUUGCAAAGGAGGCAGCAUUUGAACUGUGCUCUGUGAAAACGGGUAGGGCUUCACCUGGGAAGGAGGGAGGAGCACGCCAGACAAAGGGAAUAAUAUGAAGGAGCUGCUGGGGAGUUCCUGGUGAUUGGGGAACCUGAGAGUGAUGGGAGUGAGAAUGAGAACUGGGCUGGGAAGGGUCUUGACUCCAUGACACAGGCUGAAGACAGAACCCUCAAAAGCCUGUGUGUGUGUGUGUGUGUGUGUGUGUGUGUGUGUGUGCGCGCGCGCGCGCGCGCAUGCCCGUGAAUGUGUGUGAAACAUGGCCCUAUUUACACUUGAGCAUUUUCUCCUUAAGCCAGCCUCACAUGCUAUUAUUUCUCUUUGAGAUAACAGAAAGCAAUUUCACUAAGUGCUGCUUUAAGUUGCCUGCUGUUCACAGGUUUUCCGGGCUCGGCUGGCAAAUUCCAUUCUGCAGGGAGCUUUCUCUGGCACAGGGACCCAAGGAAUUCCAAGAAGCACUUGAACUUGACUUCAAGGUCUUAGUUUCCUAGGAAUGGGACUGAGGCAUUUUUCAGUGCGGUGGGCUCGAAGGUGGUCCCUUGGCUGCAUUUGGGAACUGAGAAAUUGCUGUUGGUUUUGAAAUUUCUCCUUGCCCAGUCAACAAAAGAUUUAUGUCUGCUAUUCAUUCAAGUCUGCGCUUGGUGUCAUGGGCUACAGCUCAGGACCUUGCCCUUCCAGAGCUGCCAGUCCGGUAGGGAAUUGCUGCCAUUUACAAAUAAGUCCAAUUCAAGGUGGUCAGUGGCCCCUCCGAGGGGAUGCAGAGGGGGUCGAGGCAUGAGUGGGGGAGGGGCAGAGAGAGGGAAACACAGAAUCCGAAGCAGGCUCCAGGCUCAGAGCUGUCAGCACAGAGCCCGACGCGGGGCUCCAACUCAGGAACCGCGAGAUCAUGACCUGAGCCGAAGUCGGAUGCUUAACUGACUGAGCCACCCAGGCGCCCCAAGUAAGGAGCAUAUUAAACGCAGUGAUCAGUCUCUUUGCUGGAUUAUCUGAGGGGUGGCAAAAGAAGCCAAAGGUUUGGUAUUAGAUUAAUGUAUUUAUUUUUUGAGUAUCUACUAUGUUCUAGGCAUUGUUCUCGUCCCAGGGAUCCAGGAUACAGCCCGUGCACUCAGGAAUGUCACAUUCUAGUGGUGGAGACAGAUGGUUAACAAAGAAGUAUGUGUUGGGGCACCUGGCUGGCUCCAUUGGUACAGCAAUGUCUUGAUUUCAGGGUGGUGAGUUCGAGCCCCACGUUGGGAGUAGAGCUUACUUAAAAGAGAAGUAUGUGUUAUGUCGGGUGUCAGAGGUGCUCUGAAGGGAAACAAGGGAGGUCAGGGGUUGGAGCGUGCCAAGCUGAGGGAGAUGGUGACUUAGAUUGGGAAGUCAGGGAAGACUUCUCUGCAACAGUGACAUUACAUUUGAGCAGAGCCCUGAGUGAAAUGAGGGAGCAAGCGUGUGGGUAUCUGCUCCGGGAGGAAGAGUAUUCCAGAGAAAAGGAACCAUGGUGCAGAGGCCCAGAGGUGGGAGUGUGUUUGAGGACAGCAAGGAGGCAAGACUGGCUGGUGGGCAGUGAGGUUGGGAAGGUGGCCAUGGCUCAAUUCUGAAUUGUAAGUGAAUUUUAUUUUUUAGACCAUUGGAAGCUUUUGAGCAAAAGAGAGAAAUCUGACAGAAAUGCUUUUAGAAGGCUCUCUCUGGCAGCGUUGUAGAGAACAGUCCAGGUCUGGCUCCUUCAGGGUCUCAGAACCCCAUUUGGCUCAUCUAUAACUUCAUGGGGCGAUUGUGAGGUUUAAAGGAGAACAUGAAGAGAAACAUGAAGACAUGCCUAACGGGCCAAGCCAACUGGUCUAGCUCUUGGGCUCUGUGGAGAAUUUAGUGACCUACUGAGCACCUAUUUGCCAAGCACUGUUGUGAACACAACAGGGAAAAAAUCCUUGCCCUCCUAGAGCUGUGUGGAGCUAGAGGAGAGACCCAGAAAGUAAGUAAUAAUCACAAGGGUCAUAAUAAUCACAAUAAAUAAAAUAUACAUGAAGAAGAGAGAGUAUACGUAAACCACCCGGUGCCUGGCCUGUGGCGAGCACUCCGUGAAUGGUAGCUAUUACAAUCACUAAGUGAAAGCAUUUUGUAAAGCAGGGCAGCACAGCAGAGAGGUAGGUCUCCUUGUGACAGACUGCGUGAGCAUGUUGCUUCAUUUAAGCUUUACCUCAUCUCUGCCCAAUUAAGUUUCAUUCGGCUCCAAGGCCCCUCUCGAAUUGCCUGCUUGCAAUCCUUGUCUCUUAUGGCGUAGAGCUUUCUUCCGUCUUCUUUUCGGCCAGCAUUUAGCAAACGCCACUUUUGCUGGAUGCCGGGGCUGUGAAGCAGUAGGGGUGUGGUUAGGAGGGAGGUGGGGUGUGGUUGGGGGGAGCCCAGAGACCAGGCAGAGGAGAGCCAGGCUGUGUAAGAGUAUGGCUGCCUUGGUUUUAUGCUGCCAGGAGAGACCCUGAAGGCUUCUAAACUAGGUGAUAAAGUUAGCAGAUAGACUAAGACUUCACAUUCUUGCUUAAAUACAUUUCAAUAAAAGUAGACAUUUGCAUUAUGGUCAAAAGCAUAAUCUGUUUUUAAGCCCCAUCAAGCGUGGAGAUAUGAGGACGUGUGGAAGUGCAAAGACCUCAGGGCAAAUAAUGUCUCAAAGUGAAGACGGUAUGCUGCUAGAUCAGCGAGAAAUUCGGCAGAAUGGAGCAGGGAGGUUUCGGAACUGGGUAAACCUGGGUUAGCACUUUUUACCAGCAGCAAGCUAUUCCACCUUGGUGAGAGGGUAAAUAUCAACCCCACAGCUUUCAGAGUUGCUGAAAGGAUUAAAGAAAACAUCCACCAAGUGCCUGACACUAGGUGCAUGAUAAGAGGCAUACAUUAUUAUUAUUAUUUUACAUUUACUUAUUUUUGAGAGACAGAGAUAGAGCACGAGUGGG